UACGGAGGGUGCGAGCGUUGUCCGGAAUCACUGGGCGUAAAGGGCGCGUAGGCGGCUCAUUAAGUGGCUGGUGAAAUCCCGGGGCUCAACUCCGGGGCUGCCGGUCAGACUGGUGGGCUUGAGCACGGUAGAGGCGGAUGGAAUUCCCGGUGUAGCGGUGGAAUGCGUAGAGAUCGGGAAGAAUACCGGUGGCGAAGGCGUUCCGCUGGGCCGUUGCUGACGCUGAGGCGCGACAGCGUGGGGAGCAAACAGG
rnacentral:rRNA from 1 species